rnacentral:rRNA from 1 species
GACGAACGCUGGCGGCGUGCCUAAUACAUGCAAGUAGAACGCUGAAGGAGGAGCUUGCUCUUCUGGAUGAGUUGCGAACGGGUGAGUAACGCGUAGGUAACCUGCCUGGUAGCGGGGGAUAACUAUUGGAAACGAUAGCUAAUACCGCAUAAGAGUAGAUGUUGCAUGACAUUUACUUAAAAGGUGCAAUUGCAUCACUACCAGACGGACCUGCGUUGUAUUAGCUAGUUGGUGGGGUAACGGCUUACCAAGGCGAGGAUACAUAGUCGACCUGAGAGGGGGAUCGGCCACACUGGGAGUGAGACACGGCCCAGACGCCUACGGGAGGCAGCAGUAGGGAUUCUUCGGCAAUGGACGGAAGUCUGACCGAGCAACGCCGCGUGAGUGAAGAAGGUUUUCGGGUCGUAAAGCUCUGUUGUAAGGGAAGAACGAGUGUGAGAGUGGAAAGUUCACACUGUGACGGUAACUUACCAGAAAGGGACGGCUAACUACGUG